UUACGGUCACAUCACGUUGAAGCACCGGUUCCCGUACGAUCAUCGAAGUUAAGCAACGUUAAGUCUGGUCAGUACUUAGACGGGUGACUACUUGGGAAUACCAGAUACUGUAA